rnacentral:tRNA from 1 species
GCCGGUGUGGCUCAGUGGACAGAGCGCUGGGCCACGAAUGAAGGGUCCUGGGUUCGAUUCCCAUCAAGGGCA